rnacentral:lncRNA from 1 species
CUGCAUAGGGAAGUUUCCAGGCUAGGGAUCGAUCAGAGCUGCAGCUGCUGGCCUACGCCACAGCCACAGCAACUCAGGAUCCGAACCUUGUCUGUGACCUACACCACAGCUCAGGGCAACACCAGAUCCUCAACCCACUGAGUGAAGCCAAGAUUGAACCUGCAUCCUCAUGGUUACUAGCAGGGUUUGUUACCACUGAGCCACAAUGGGAACUCCUUUUGCAGCAUUUCUAAAAAAAGAUUAUAAAAUAAUAUAAAUGUUAAACAUUCAAACGAUGAGUGUAGAAAAGUAGAAGUUCCCCAUAUGAUUCUCCUAUGUUCUCACUACUAUAACAGGCAAAUGUGAGCCUCAGUUUCCUUAUGUGAAUGGGGAUAAUGAUACCAUUUAAGGUUAAGAUUAGAAAUAUAAUGGAUAUGAAGCACCUAACAAGUGCCCAGCACAUAAGUACUCAACAAAUGGUAUAUAGUAAUGGUGUAUACCUUUACAAGUCUGUGUUCAACAACUUCUUUUCAACAGAUGAAUAACAAUAACGCUUGAGUGUAACCUUAGAGCAUUACUGUCAAAUGUGAAAGUUUACUCUGUAAACUGUUAAGCGGUGGUAAACAUGUGAAAUAUACUAUUAUUAGAUGCCCUUUCUUCUUUAAGAGGCUGCUAUAAAGGAAACAUGACAACAGAUUUCAGAUUUUCACAUUCAUUUUGUUCCUAAAGCAGCACUUUACCAAUAGUAUGUGUAGACAGAUGAUAAACAAAACAUUUCUUUUUUGAUAAAACAUAAACGCUUCAUGGAAAACUCUUUCUAGGAAGGCUUCAAUUACUUUUCUAUAUUUUUAGAGCAAGAAUGUUAUUCUAAUUUUAAAAAGAUACAAAACAACUCUACAUAUGCUUGAUCAAUCUUAAAACUACAAUGACGUGGGUUAGAGCAACAACUACCAAAUGACCAAAGCUACAAGUGGGGAAAAAAAAAAAAAAGCAAAAUAUCUGUAAGUAUAAGCAAAGAGAUCCUGCUGUAUAGCACUAGGAACUAUAUCUAGUCACUUAUGAUGGAGCAUUAUAACGUGAGAAAAAGGAAUGUUUAUAUGUAUGUGUGACUGGGAAACCUUGCUGUACAGUAGAAAAUUGACAGAACACUGUAAACCAGCAAUGAUGGAAAAAAAUAAAAAUCAUUAAAUAAAAAAUAUAUCUAUAUCACUCGUGUUGAAGUAGAGACUCUCAUACUAAGUGAAGUAAGUCAGAAAGAGAAAGACAAAUAGUGUAAGACAUCAUUUACAUCUGGAAUCUAAUAUAUGGCACAAACAAACCUUUCCAUAGAAAAGAAACUCAUGCACUUGAAGACUAGACUUGUGGCUGCCAAGGGGGAGGGGAGGGAUGGGAUGGACUGGGAAUUUGGGUUAAUAGAUGCAAAUAAUUGCCUUUGGAAUGGAUAGACAAUGAGAUCCUGCUAUAUAGCACUGGGAACUGUGUCUGGUCACUUAUGAUGGAGCAUGAUAAUGUGAGAAAAAGGAAUGUAUAUUGUGUAUGUGUGACUGGAUCAACUUACUGUACAGUAGAAAAUUGACAGAAUACUGUAAACCAGCUAUAAAGGAGAAAAUGAAAAUUAUUUAAAAAUUAAAAAAAAAACAUCAUUUCUAAAAUGGAAAAAAAAAAAAGCUAUAUUAACAGUAAAUAAAUUUAGUGAUGAGUGCAAAACAUGUAUCUCUAGAAAGAAGAAAAGCAAAAGCUGAGUUGAUAGAUUUUCACUGUGGGUAUCAAUGUUUACUAUAUUUCAAACCCCCACUUCCAAUAAUAGUACCAUCAAAUCAUUUAAGUAUAUGUAACUGUGAUAUUUUAAAGGAUGGGGGAAAAAACCUGAUGUAGAAAAAAAGUAGUGGGCAGUCUUGAAGGUAUUCUGAAAGUUAAGCUAACAUUUAUUUUAAUUGCAAUUGUUGAGUAUAAAUAUUCCACCUCCAAAUUUGACAAAUCAAAUUUUUAAAUAAAAAUCUGUCAACUAUGAAUGUCAACAAACCAUUAAAAUUAUUAACAUUUUCUCUCUCAUCAACUUAAGUUGGUAUUAAAAAUAUAGCCUCAGGGGCCAUAUCUUGUCUUAUUAAAUCUGUUGGGGAUGUUUAUUCAUACAAAUGGUAUUUGCCAUACAUACUUAAUUUCUCUGUUUUUGAAGCAUUGAGCAAAUAGAGUUGCAAGUCACAUCCAAAAGGCAAGGGUGAUAUGAAGUCAAAUUUUAAAAUAGUGGAUUUUGAUUAAAACUAAUUUUUAAACAGAUUUAUUUGGCAGUGGUUUUGUAUUUGUUUAUAAAAUUAAAGACAGAAUAGUAUUAUGCAGUACAUUCUCUGGUUUGGUGUCCUAAUUUUAUCUCUAUAUUACUUCACUACUUUAAACAUUUAUAAAACCUACACAAUUGUUAAAAUUAAGACUUUAAAUCAAAGAACACAUUAAUCUUGGAAAAAUGAGAAAGAAAACAGCUAUUAAAUAGUAGGAGUAAGAAUCACUAUGGAUAAAUAGGAAACACUCUCAGCUGAUUUUAGAAAAACAAAUACCAUAAAUGCUUUUUAUUUAAUGACCUAAGCAAUACCACUUUACAACCCCCACCCGUUUUAGAUUCCCUUUUUCAACAGAUAGAAAAUUUACCAAAAAAAAGCAAAGCUAAAGCAAUUAAGAUAAAAAAAAAAUCUUUUCUACUUUUUUCAUAUGAAAAACACUAGCAAUGUAAAAGCCUUUUUAUAAGAAGACAAUGAAAAUGAUAUUUUCCUAAAGCUAGUGUACUAAAAUUCUUUUGCACUGAAAGUAGACAAAAACAGAAGACAACAUUUAUAUUAAAUAUUAAACACCUUAGAGCAAGCCCAUUGCUUCCUGAUUCAAAAGUAAGAAAGAGAAGCACAAGGAACAUACAAAGGAUAUACAAAUGAAUAAUCUAAAAUAAAAUGCACUCUGGAAAAAAUUACCACACCUAGCUCCAAUAACAACAAAAUACAAUUCAAAGCCACAUUUGAAACUAUGUCAUUUCCUUUACCACGAUUUCUCAAUUUGCCUCAAUAAAUUCAUCUUAUCAAUUGCACCUUUCAGCUCUAAAAAUGUCUAACACGUAUCAAUGUUCAUAACACAGCCAUUUUUGAAAAUGUCUUAUUACAUUUUAAUGACAGUGAUAAGCAAUUCUAUAUUACUUGAAUAAGUCGUCUCCAUCUCCAUUAUGGAACUGAACAGCAUUCUUUGGCCAAUAUAAUUCUUAGGCUCAAAAUUUUUUGGUUUCUUCACUUUUUGUUUUCAUUUAGCGAAGGCAGAAGAGUGAAAACUUCUAUACUUUAAUAAAAUGAGUAAAAUAAAUUGUAGCUAGGCAAUUAUGUUACAAAAAUUGUCUCCAGCCCCCACAUAGGCGGUACCUGUUCCACAUUAUUUUAAUAACACAUUUUUUUAAAAAAGCAAAUACUGCCCAGUAUAGCCAAUUUUCUUCAAUGUAGUAUUAGAAGUCCUAGCCAUAGCAAUCAUACAAAAAAAAAAAAAAGACAAGAAAAAGAAAGAAAAGGUGUCCAAGUUGGAAGAAAAGAGGUAAAAUUGUCCUUAUGUGAGGAUGACGUGAUACUACAUACAGAAAUCCUAAAGACUCCACACAAAAACUACUCCAUCUGAUAAAAGAAUUCAGCAAAGUAGCAGGACACACGAUUAACAUUCAGAAAUUGGCUGCAUUUCUGUUUACUAACAAGGAAAUAUUUAAAAAGAAAUAUAAAAAACCCAAUACCUUUUAAAAUCAUACCCCCCAAAAUAAAAUACCUAGGAAUAAAUCUAAGGAGGUGAAGGACUUAUAUGCUGAGAACUAUAAAACAUUAAUAAAGGAAAUUAAAGAGGACUCAAAGAAAUGGAAAGAUAUGCCAUGCUCCUGGAUUGGAAGAAUUGCUAAAAUGGCCAUACUGCCCAAAGCAAUCUACCGAUUUAAUGCAAUCCCUAUCAAAUUACCCAUUACAUUCUCCACAGAACAAGAGUAAUACAAAAAUUGAUAUGGAACCAUAAAAGACCCAGAAUUGCCAAAGCAAUCCUGAGGGGAAAAAAAUGAAGCAGGAGGCAUAACUCCCGCAAGAGACAAUAUUACAAAGCUACAGUAAUCAAGACAGUGUGGUACUGAUUCAAAAACAGACAUACGGACCAACAGAACAUAAAAGCAGGCCCAGAUAUAAACCCAGACACUUAAUGUCAAUUAACCUUAGACAAAGGAGGCAAGAACAUAAAAUGGGAAGAAGUCUCUUUAGCAAGUGGUGCUAGGAAAACUGGACAGCUGCAUGUAGACCAAUAAAACCGGAACACAGCCUCACACCAUGCACACAAUUAAACUCAAAAUGGCUUAAAGACUUGAACAUAAGACAUGACACCAUAAAACUCCUAGAAGAGAACAGAGGCAAAACAUUCUGACAUCAACUCGUACAAAUGUUUUCUUAGCUCAGUCUCCCAAAGCAAUACAAAUAAACAAAUGGGACCUAAUCAAACUUACAAGCUUUUGUAUAGCAAAGAAAACCAUAAGAAAAAUGAAAAGAUAACCUAUGGAAUGGGAGGAAAAUAGCCACAAACUAUGCAACUGACAAGGGCCUAAUCACCAAAAUAUACAAAAUAACUCAUGUGGUUCAAACAUCUAAAAAACAAGGAACCUGAUCUAAAAAUAGGCAGAAGACCUAAACAGACAUUUUUUCCAAAGAAGACAUAUAGAUAGCCAGCAGGCACAUGAAAAAAUGCUCAACAUCACUAAUUAUUAGAGAAAUGCAAAUCAAAACUACAAUGAGGUACCACCUCACACCAGUAAGAAUGGCCAUCAUUAAUAAGUCUACAAAUAACAAACACUGGAGAGGGUGUGGAGAAUAGGGAACCCUCCUACACUGCUGGUAGGAAUGUAAAUUGGUACAACCACUAUGGAAAACAAUAUAGAGUUUCCUCAGAAAACUAAAUGUAGAACUACCAUAUGAUCUAACAAUCCCCUCUUGGGCAUAUAUCUGGACAAAACUACAAUUCAAAAAGAUAUCUGCACCCGUAUGUUCACUGCAGCACUAUUCACAAUAGACGAGACAUGGAUACAGCCUAAAUGUCCAUUGACAGAUGACUGAAUUAAGAAGAUGUGGUACAUAUACACAAUGGAAUACUACUCAGCCAUAAAAAAGAAUGAAAUAAUGCCAUCACGGCAGCAUGGAUGCAACUAGAGAUUCUCAUACUAAGUGAAGUCAGAAAGAGAAGGACAAAUACCAUAUGAUAACACUUAUAUGUGGAAACUAAAAUACUGCACAAAUGAACCUAUCUACAAAACAGAAACUGACUUGAAGACAUGGAGAAUAGACUUGUUGCCGAGGGAGGGGUGAAGGAGUGGGAUUGGCUAGGAGUUUGAGGUUAACAAAUGCAAACUACUACAUUUAGAAUGGAUAGACAAUACUGUCCUACAGUAUAGCACAGGGAACUAUAUCUAAUCUCCCGGGAUAGUGGUACUGAUUCAAAAACAUACGGACCUGUGAUGGAAAAUGAUAUUAAAAAAAAAAGAAAAAAAUUAUAUAUAAAUAUAUAUAUGUAUGAAUGUGUCACUUUGCUGUACAACAGAAAUUGGCACAACACUGUAAACCAACUAUACUUUAAUACAAAUAAAUAAAUAAAUAAAAGCAAAUACUUUAGCUUACAUGCUCAUGUUGAAAAAAAGUUGGAUUUUUUGUUUUAAGCAUUCUUUCCAAAGUAAUACAAAUGAUACAAAGUGCUAAUUCCCAUGAAUAUAACUAUAUACAAUUACACUUUCUCAUAAAAAACCUCAAUUGAUAAGCUUUCAACUUCCAUCAAUUUAAAAUAAAACACAUAAUUUUCCUGAGUCCAUGAAAUAAUAAUUUCACCGAAACUGCUCAAUCCGUACUUGCUACACAGGUACAAUACACAGUGUAUUAUAGAUAUAUUCUAGUAAAAAUUUUACACACAUUAUUUUAUAUCUAUUGAAGUUUACCACAAGUGUACAGUCACUUGGACUUUUCAGAAUUACUCUGCCAUUAAUCAGGAUAUGUUUCUCAUACAAAAUGCAACAAUAUUUCAAUAUAAUAAUUAAAUGUCAAUAAUGUAAUAUUUCACUUCAAGUACAAUAAAUCAAAAACUACACCUUGCCUCUAAUUUUUCAAGAACAUUGCACUAAAAAAGAAUCUAUUGUAGGGGGGAGAGGUGGCUACUGUAAAAUUUUAUACUUCAACAGUUAAUCCUCCAAAGGUAGGCUGUUAACAUCCUGCAACAGAGAAAAAUAGUUUUCUCUAAUAAAUAAGUAUCUUUUAAAACAUAAUUGAAGUGUCCCUUAAAAUGGUUCUAGGACAAAAGCAAGUUGUAAAUGAUGAAAUAAAAGCAAUUAGGCAAAUCAUAAUGAUUAAUAAGAAAGGUUUUAGAGAUAUCCAGGUUCAAAUGCCUGGUCAUACCCACGUAGAAAUUUGAACUUUGGCAAGUUUUUAAAUUCCUCGCAGCUGCAAUUCCUUCUGGUCAUUGUGCUAAAUAUCAGAUAGUAAGGUAUUGUCAGCACUGAGCCUGACACUGAGGGCUCAAUAACUACAAUGAUUACUGUAAAGACAAACUUAGGGUAGCGGUGGUGUUUACUGGUGACCCUACAAAAACUGCUAUGGUCCUUGCUUUAAAACGCACUCUUUGCUUGCUUGGUAGUGUAAUUCCUGAUACUUUUCUGUUCCCUUUCAAUGCAAAGAACUCCACAGAAUUAAGGGGAAAAAAAAAAAAAAUCAAGCGGGGGGGGGGAAGAUAGUUUAAACACGAAAUGUUAUGGUUGGCAAACACCUGGACUCAAGCAAAACUGUGUGUGUGAAUUUGUCAAUGGGCUGUCGUCUUACCUUUUAAACCCUAACGAUCCCAGUCGAGUUGACAGGGGCUUAGGAGGCUAUUUCCUGCUGUUGUUUUCAAAACAAAAUCACUUCAGGAGAAAGAAAAGUGUAGCACCCUGGACAAUACUAAAGGUGACUAGUUAUUAAUUACUUAUUGAAUGACUCGUUAAACUUGUACAUUUCAGACACUUUCCAAGACAAGGGACUUUUGAACAAAAUUUUUCAUGUUCUAUUUUGAAUUAGAGGGAGUCCCUUUCUUCACAAAAUGCUCAAUAUUUUAAGUUCAAUAUUUUUAUCUUCACCUAAUUAUUUUUAAAAAAAUUAGAUAGGCAUGAUCAUCCCUAAAUUGAAGAAAAAAGACAGCUUUACAAGUUGUCAAGUAAACUUUAUACAGCGUGUAAGCUACAAAAGCAGCUGGGAUUCGAACUCGUUUCUCUUGUGCUCCGAAGUCCAAGCUUUUUUCGCUACACUGAAGCUCGAGCUUCCACUUGUCUUCCUAAACCGCCCGGUAUAGAGAACAUUCAUUAUGAAGCUUUCCCUCCCCUUUUCUGUUGCCGACUCUUCCAUUUCAAACUAUCUCGUAUGCUGGCCAUAAACUCCAUACGACAACGGGCAAAGGUGCACUAAUUCUAGAAGCCAGAGUAUAGGCCCGAAGAAAAGAAACUGGUUUUACUUUCUACGCGGAAAGGAGGUUUGGCCAGCACCACCAGCGACAAACACAGGCAGGGGUCCAGAGACUACAGACCGCGCCCAGGUCUCAAGUUUUAGUCAAGGCCCACGUCCGGCCAGGCGAGGGGAGAAGAGAAGGUUAUCCUUUCCUGACCCCUCGCCGAGGCGGGAGCGCAGAAGAGAAGGUUGGAGGUGCAGUAACAGUGCACAAGAUAAACUCAAACCCCUUCUUCAGCCCGUUAAACGCACUUACUUGAGCAAAGUAAUUCCAAGACACAAGGCCGGCACCGGCAACGGGAAGGGCUCCUCUGUCC